rnacentral:rRNA from 1 species
CAGUAGCCGCGGUAAUACAGAGGGUGCGAGCGUUAAUCGGAUUUACUGGGCGUAAAGCGUGCGUAGGCGGCUAAUUGAGUCGGAUGUGAAAUCCCCGAGCUUAACUUGGGAAUUGCAUUCGAUACUGGUUAGCUAGAGUGUGGGAGAGGAUGGUAGAAUUCCAGGUGUAGCGGUGAAAUGCGUAGAGAUCUGGAGGAAUACCGAUGGCGAAGGCAGCCAUCUGGCCUAACACUGACGCUGAGGUACGAAAGCAUGGGGAGCAAACAGGAUUAGAUACCCCCGUAGUCCCUGUCUCUUAUAC